AAAGCAGGUCUCUAUUUAAAAAAGAAAAUCCUUUUCUUCUGCAAAUAUCCUUUUAAAACAUUUUUUUCCUUCUUUUCAAGCAAUCUCAUCGUAGAUUUUUUUUUAUUCUGUUGGAUUUUUGGCAUGCAGUACAGAUCAAAAAGAAUACACACGGUGCCAGCUUGCCACUCCGUGCAGUAGAGGUUCUGUCAUGUGAUAUUACUCCACGCAGAGGGAAGUCGGAGCAGCCCUGCACGCUGCUUUACACCACUGGAAAACAUUGAGCUUUGCCUGUGGGAAGCUCAGAAUCAGAAGCUGCGCGGGUACAGGGGAGUCCCAUCACCUCAGCUUCACCCAUGUCCCUGCUUCUGCAGCAGCAGAAAUAUUCCUGUUGGGCAAUGCCGGAGUCCCAGGAGCGGCCUCAAAAGCAGGAGCACCAGGCUGUCGCCCGCUGAGUGCUCCAUUUCUCUGCUGGCGGCCCUUCCUUCCCCUCGCCCCGUACUGCACCCCCUCCACGAGACCGUGGUGUUUAGGUGGGCAGCUACAGCACUGGGGAGCAAAGCGCGGCCCAGAAGGGGAGAAGUAAAUAAAUGGAGAUAUCAAGAUGCGUUAGUUCUUGUAGGUCCUAAAAAUAAAGCACUUCUUAUGAACAACAUCUGAUUUUCCAUGUGUCAGGCCUAAAUUUAGUCAGAGGCGAUUUGUGGCAAAGCUGGUCCAAAGUUUUCUAUGUUGUGUGUUUUUUUUUUGGUUUUUUUUUGUGUUUUUUUUUUUAAUGACAUUAAACUUAUAUUGGUAGUGAUAUAAAUAUAUAUAUAUAUAUUACUUUUUCCUGCUGAAAUAUGCAUAUUUUCCUUUUGUUGUGGAGGCUAGGGGCACCAAAUUUUGCCCCAAUCCUCCUUUUUCUUCUCCAUUAUAUUUUUAUUUUAUAAGCCUACUCUCAGUGCUUAGUGGAAACUUCUUUCACUUAUUUCUUGCAUCCUUUGUCUUCUGCAGGCUGAGGCUGUGCUCAGGUUGUGCCUGCUGUGGCAGGACAUGCUUUUCACAGCUUUUAGUGUCUCAGAAGUAAUACAUCCUAGGAGAUACAGACCAUAGAACUAAAUUAGGCACCCAAAUUACAACUCUCAUGAAAUACUGAAAAGGGAGGGGGAAGGGAGAGGAACUCUAACAGUGACAGUUUUGUUUUGCCUAAAUUUUCCAUGGAGAAGUAUUUCAUAAGUUAUGUCAAAUGGGAAAGCUGGUUAUGUAUCUCUGUCUGCAUGGGUAGAAGAUCUUCUGUGACAGACAGAUUGCGAGAGUGGGGGUGUGCACUAGUGCCACGAUGCUGGUAGCAAGCAAUGGGGUUUGUUCUGUGCUUUGCCAUCUCUUCCCAGCAUAUGUUCAUGUUAGUCAUGUUAGGAGUUUAGUCAAAGAUUCGCCCUUUAGAGAAAAUAGUGGUAACGGAGAACUUUUUAUCUUUGUCUGGAAGAGAUUAAUCGCUGACGAUCCUGAAUAACAGGGAUGCUCAGAAACAUGCAUUAUGAAAUGCAGGGCUGCUGAUGACUGCCCGUUUGUUGGUCAUCAAAGAAGUAUGAAGCAAUUUUCUUUCAAGGUGGUUUCUUUGGAUAGCAGAAAUAAAAGUCUUUCCCUUCUGAUUUCA
rnacentral:lncRNA from 1 species